rnacentral:rRNA from 1 species
CGGAGGAUCCAAGCGUUAUCCGGAUUCAUUGGGUUUAAAGGGUGCGUAGGCGGAAUGAUAAGUCAGUGGUGAAAUCCUGCAGCUUAACUGCAGAACUGCCAUUGAUACUGUCAAUCUUGAGUACAUUUGAUGUGGGCGGAAUGUGUCAUGUAGCGGUGAAAUGCUUAGAUAUGACACAGAACACCGAUUGCGAAGGCAGCUCACAAAACUGUAACUGACGCUGAGGCACGAAAGCGUGGGUAUCAAACAGGAUUAGAUACCCUGGUAGUCCACGCUGUAAACUAUGAUUACUCGAUGUUUGCGAUACACUGUAAGCGUCUAAGCGAAAGCGAUAAGUAAUCCACCUGGGGAGUACGCUCGCAAGAGUG